CCCCCCCCCCCCCACAUCUUUUGAUUUUCAUGUGGAUGCCUUCCAAGUUUGGAUUCAUCGAUCUGGAAUGGGUCCCUGAACUUGUAGAUUUAGGAACAUUACUUUGGUUUUUGCUAGAUAGGGCCUUCAAGUUUCUUUGUGUUUAUGUAUGGCUUCGUGUUGUUAGCUUGAUCAGGUUUUUAUGGGUUUUAACUUGUAAGAGUUUUAUACUGAUCCAAUACUCAAUCUUGAAUUCAUUGCUGUUGUUGCUCAUUGUCAUUGAUGAUCUUGAAUCACUGAGGUUUAGGGUUGAGCUUCAUGGUAAACUUAGGUGAGCAGCAAUAAUGGUUCUUCUAUUCCUGAUCUGUUCGCAUGGUCUGUCAUGUGGGAUGCCAUCAGAUCAAAAUACAUUUAAAACUUGGUCUCAAUUCUUUGUUCAUGUUGCACGAUGAAAGUAGAAUCUAUAUGAAUGUUCUUGGCUCCUACUUGAGUAAAUACUAUCGAAUUGAUGGUGCAAUUAUUUCCUAUGUACUUUUGAUUUACUAUGGGUUGGUAUGGAAUGGAAGUCCAUUGGGGUUCUGCAUAGGAUGAUUCCCGUCACGCGAUGAUGCUGAUGUUCAGUGCUCAUAUGUGUAUUUCUUCUAUUUGAUGUUCAGCUUUGUUUAUACGACAUAUGGAAACUGUAUCAUAUUUUGUGGCUAGAGUCCUGAACACGAGAGGUUGAAACAUAAUCACCUACAAACUUUGAUCUCUAUUUUAGUCAUUCCACCAACAAAUUAGAAUGUUAACAUGGAGAUUCAAUUACUUUUGUGUCUGAUUGGUUGUUAGAGAACUAAGAAAAGUAACUAGCACUGUUGUUGCCCUUUUCAACUAACAUGCAGUUAAAAUUUAGCUCGCUAACCUCAUGAAGCAAAUUUUGAUGAAGUCUGCUUCUUCUAUUUUGAUCCAUCCAGUGCUAACUGCUGACCAAUUGGUUUAUUGUCUUAACUUCUUUGUUCACAAAUCAGUCAUUACAAUUACAAUAGAACAAUUAUGUGCUGUAUACGUUUGCAUCUGUGAAGCUUUCAUUUUAGGUGCACUGCAGUGUAAAAUCUUAUUCAUACAACAUAUGUUUUCUAUUAUGGUGUGACAACCUCUUUAUUGAAGUUUUGUUUAUUCAAGAAUCAAGAUCCUCACUUGUGUAAUUCUACAUUAGCCUUGGUUAUUCAUGAGUCCAUAAUAUUUUUUUUUUACUUUGAUGAGCAAUAAUUUGUGGAUUUCUCCACUAAUAUAUUUAAUCUUUGUGCAAUCAAGUUCUCAAAAAGAAAGAAGAGGAAAGAAAGGCUGGUGUCCGACCAAUCAAGAAAAUUGGGAAAGCUGAAUCUCCAAAGUUUUGUAAAGCAGCAGUUCCUUGAUACUCUUCUAGAUCAGCAGAAAGGACCCAAGGAAGUAUCUAGGACUAACGAUGCAACUGAUAUAGAAGAUGCUACAACAGAUAAUGAUGGUCUUCUGAACCAACAGGUACUAGUGCCACUUUUAAGCCAGGGACUUGGCAUCUACCAAUAUGAACACCGGGCUUAAUUCCAACAGAUGAUACUUGAGCAUUUUCCUUUCACCUAUUUGUGUAAUAUCAGUAACCUCUCCUCUGGAUGAAUCAAUUACGUGAGUUCCUUAUUUUCAGUUAGUUAAGCAUCUGCAGAGUUGCGAGUAAUCAGGGAGUUGUCCCUGGAUUUUUGGCAAAUUUUCUUGUGUAAGUUUGAUGGACCGUACUACUUUAAUGAAU